rnacentral:rRNA from 1 species
AACGAACGCUGGCGGCAUGCCUAACACAUGCAAGUCGAACGAGACCUUCGGGUCUAGUGGCGCACGGGUGCGUAACGCGUGGGAACCUGCCCUUAGGUUCGGAAUAACUCCCCGAAAGGGGUGCUAAUACCGGAUAAUGUCUUCGGACCAAAGAUUUAUCGCCUUUGGAUGGGCCCGCGUUGGAUUAGCUAGUUGGUAGGGUAAAAGCCUACCAAGGCGACGAUCCAUAGCUGGUCUGAGAGGAUGAUCAGCCACACUGGGACUGAGACACGGCCCAGACUCCUACGGGAGGCAGCAGAGGGGAAUAUUGGACAAUGGGCGAAAGCCUGAUCCAGCAAUGCCGCGUGAGUGAUGAAGGCCUUAGGGUUGUAAAGCUCUUUUACCCGGGAUGAUAAUGACAGUACCGGGAGAAUAAGCGCCGGCUAACUCCGUG